CUGACCCCCCCAUGGUGGGAUGGAUGCCCAAGGGCUGUGCACCAGAUUGGGGUCCCUGCAAGGACACCAAGGCCGUCUGGAAACUCAGCUUGGAUUCUGGGGCUUUCGACUCCUGGAAGAGUGAGGCUACCCUUCUGGGAAGAGGAGGGGCAGGUCUGAAGAACAAAAGUGAAUUAUGGCUGACAAAUGGAAUGCAUACCAGCUCCAAAGGUAAUGCAGCUAUGGAUAUAGGAGAAAUACCUGGGAUGCCGCUAUUCAAAGGGUGA
rnacentral:lncRNA from 1 species